rnacentral:rRNA from 1 species
AGAGUUUGAUCCCGGCUCAGAACGAACGCUGGCGGCAGGCUUAACACAUGCAAGUCGAGCGCCCCGCAAGGGGAGCGGCAGACGGGUGAGUAACGCGUGGGAAUCUACCUUUUGCUACGGAAUAACGCAGGGAAACUUGUGCUAAUACCGUAUGUGUCCUUCGGGAGAAAGAUUUAUCGGCAAGAGAUGAGCCCGCGUUGGAUUAGCUAGUUGGUGGGGUAAAGGCCUACCAAGGCGACGAUCCAUAGCUGGUCUGAGAGGAUGAUCAGCCACAUUGGGACUGAGACACGGCCCAAACUCCUACGGGAGGCAGCAGUGGGGAAUAUUGGACAAUGGGCGCAAGCCUGAUCCAGCCAUGCCGCGUGAGUGAUGAAGGCCCUAGGGUUGUAAAGCUCUUUCACCGGAGAAGAUAAUGACGGAUUCCGGAGAAGAAGCCCCGG